rnacentral:rRNA from 1 species
UACGGAGGGUGCAAGCGUUGUCCGGAAUCACUGGGCGUAAAGAGCUCGUAGGCGGCCUGUUGCGUCCGCUGUGAAAGCCCGGGGCUUAACCCCGGGUCUGCAGUGGAUACGGGCAGGCUAGAGGUAGGCAGGGGAGAAUGGAAUUCCCGGUGUAGCGGUGAAAUGCGCAGAUAUCGGGAGGAACACCGGUGGCGAAGGCGAAUCUCUGGACAGUUACUGACACUGAGGCACGAAGGCCAGGGGAGCAAACGGG